UGGAGGCAGCAGUGAGGAAUAUUGCGCAAUGGGCGAAAGCCAGACGCAGCAACGCCGCGUGGACGAUGAAGGCCUUCGGGUCGUAAAGUCCUUUUCAGGGAGACGAGAGAGGACGGUAUCCCUGGAAUCAGUCACGGCUAACUACGUGCCAGCAGCCGCGGUAAAACGUAGGUGGCGAGCGUUAUCCGGAUUCACUGGGCGUAAAGCGCCUGCAGGCGGUCCUGUAAGUGGGGUGUGAAAUCUCCCGGCUCAACUGGGAGGGGUCGCUCCAUACUGCGGGACUGGAGGGCAGAAGAGGGAAGUGGAAUUCCCGGUGUAGUGGUGAAAUGCGUAGAGAUCGGGAGGAACACCAGUGGCGAAGGCGGCUUCCUGGUCUGCCCCUGACGCUAAGAGGCGAAAGCUAGGGGAGCGAACGGGAUUAGAUACCCCGGUAGUCCG
rnacentral:rRNA from 1 species